rnacentral:rRNA from 1 species
ACUGAAUAGAUACCCAGGUAGUCCACGCCGUAAACGAUGAGUGCUAGGUGUCACGGGCUUUGACCCUCGUGGUGCCGAAAGCUAACGCGUUAAGCACUCCGCCUGGGGAGUACGGCCGCAAGGCUAAAACUCAAAAGAAUUGACGGGGGCCCGCACAAGCGGUGGAGCAUGUUGUUUAAUUCGACGCAACGCGAAGAACCUUACCUGGGCUAGAAAGUACAGGAACCUGGUUGAAAAAAUCGGGGUGCCCUUCGGGGUAAGUCUGUGGUUAGGUGCUGCAUGGCUGUCGUCAGCUCGUGUCGUGAGAUGUUGGGUUAAGUCCCGCAACGAGCGCAACCCUGUCGUUAGUUGCCAUCAUUCAGUUGGGCACUCUAACGAGACUGCCGACCUUUAAGUCGGAGGAAGGUGGGGACGACGUCAAGUCAUCAUGGCCCUUAUGUCCAGGGCUACAAACGUGCUACAAUGGUCAGUACAAAGGGUAGCGAACCCGCGAGGGGAGCCAAUCUCAAAAAGCUGGCCUCAGUACGGAUAAGAGUCUGCAACUCGACUCUUUGAA